CCCAGAAGAAAGUUCACUCACAGUAUGUUCAUUCAGCUGUUGUGAUUAGUUUGUAGAAUUGAGAGGAGCAUUGCCCAUGGUUUAUCUUUUUUGGUUCAUCAUCAAAAACCACCGUAGCCGAUCGUGGGGAUCCUAACGAUCCCCGAGUAAGAUUAAAACAUGAUUGCAUUAGGAUUAUGGCUGCUUUCAAACUUGAGCAACCUUUUCAUCAUGUUGUAAUUGUAGCCAACACCCAUCUUUAUCGGGAUCCAGAAUGGGCUGAUGUGAAGCUCGCUCAGGCUAAGUAUCUUUUAUCACGCCUAGCUCGAUUCAAAUCUUUAGUUGUUGAAAAGUUUGAAUGCACACCCUCAGUGCUUUUGGCUGGCGAUUUCAAUUCAACCCCAGGAGAUAAAGUACACAUUGUGUUAUACACUUAUGUAUGUAAUAUACUAAAGAUGGGACCGUGGGCAUAUAUGACGGCUUUAGUGAAACACAAACGGAGUCUCAGGUGUGUGCCCAUCUUUCUU